rnacentral:rRNA from 1 species
CCUACGGGAGGCAGCAGUGGGGGAUAUUGCACAAUGGGGGAAACCCUGAUGCAGCGACGCCGCGUGGGUGAAGAAGCGCCUCGGCGCGUAAAGCCCUGUCAGCAGGGAAGAAAAUGACGGUACCUGAAGAAGAAGCCCCGGCUAACUACGUGCCAGCAGCCGCGGUAAUACGUAGGGGGCAAGCGUUAUCCGGAGUUACUGGGUGUAAAGGGGGCGCAGACGGCGAUGCAAGCCAGGAGGGAAAGCCCGGGGCCCAACCCCGGGACUGCUCUUGGAACUGCGUGGCUAGAGUGCAGGAGGGGCAGGCGGAAUUCCUGGUGUAGCGGUGAAAUGCGUAGAUAUCAGGAGGAACACCGGUGGCGAAGGCGGCCUGCUGGACUGCAACUGUCGUUGAGGCCCGAAAGCGUGGGGAGCAAACAGGAUUAGAUACCCCAGUAGUC